rnacentral:rRNA from 1 species
UACGAAGGGGGCUAGCGUUGUUCGGAAUCACUGGGCGUAAAGGGCGCGUAGGCGGCCUGCUAAGUCGAACGUGAAAUCCCUCGGCUUAACCGAGGAACUGCCUGUCAGACUGCAUGGCUUGAGACCGGGAGAGGUGAGUGGAAUUCCCAGUGUAGCGGUGAAAUGCGUAGAUAUUGGGAGGAACACCAGUGGCGAAGGCGGCUCACUGGACCGGUACUGACGCUGAGGCGCGAAAGCGUGGGGAGCAAACAGG